rnacentral:rRNA from 1 species
UACGGGGGGCAAGGCGUUGUUCGGAAUUACUGGGCGUAAAGGGCGCGUAGGCGGUUCGCUAAGUUGGAUGUGAAACUCGUGGGCUCCAACCCAGAGCCUGCAUCCAAAACUGGCGGGCUAGAGUUCUGGAGGGGGUGAGGCGGAAGUUACCUUCGGUGUAGCGGUGAAAUGCGUAGAUAUCAGGAGGAACACCGGUGGCGAAGGCGGCUACCUGGACAGAACUGACGCUGGAGGCGCGAAAGCUAGGGGAGCAAACAGG